rnacentral:rRNA from 1 species
AUGGUGGUGGACGCGCUUGCCGCUAUCCUGGACAAGGCGAAGGCGGCGGGCCAUAUUCAUGGGAUCACUCCCCACUUGGCCGGCGGCUCUGGGAUCUCCCUUCUCCAGUACGCCGACGACACCAUCAUUAUGCUGGAAGGCUCGAAGGCGGACAUCUCUAAUCUGAAGUUCCUCCUCCUCUGCUUCCAACAAAUGUCUGGCCUCAAGAUCAACUUCGAUAAGAGUGAUGUGAUGGUGAUGGGCUACUCUCCGGAUGAAUGCCUGGGCAUUGCCAACCGGCUUAACUGCCGCUUGGGCUCCUUCCCCACGACCUACUUGGGGACGCUGAUUAGUGACUCUCGGCUCACCGUCGCUGACUUGCGUCCAACCGUGGCCAAGCUGCAGACGUGCAUUGAGCCUUGGCAGGACAGGUGGUUGUCGAAGGCGGCCCGGACGAUUCUCAUCAACUCCUCCCUAUCCAGCCUCCUCUUGUUCCUCAUGAGUUUCUAUAGCCUGCACGAGAUUCUGCAUCAUGAGAUCGCCAGAGUCCAGUCUCGUUUCUACUGGGCAGGCAACAACAAUAAA